rnacentral:rRNA from 1 species
UACAGAGGGGGCGAGCGUUUGUUCGGAAUUACUGGGCGUAAAGGGCGCGUAGGCGGCCUUCUAAGUCGGACGUGAAAUCCCUCGGCUCAACCGGGGAACUGCGUCCGAUACUGGAUGGCUUGAAUUCGGGAGAGGGAUGCGGAAUUCCAGGUGUAGCGGUGAAAUGCGUAGAUAUCUGGAGGAACACCGGUGGCGAAGGCGGCAUCCUGGACCGAGAUUGACGCUGAUGCGCGAAAGCCAGGGGAGCAAACGGGG